AACGAACGCUGGCGGCAUGCCUAACACAUGCAAGUCGAACGAGGCCCUUCGGGGUUUAGUGGCGCACGGGUGCGUAACGCGUGGGAAUCUGCCCUUAGGUUCGGAAUAACAGCUGGAAACGGCUGCUAAUACCGGAUGAUAUCGCGAGAUCAAAGAUUUAUCGCCUGAGGAUGAGCCCGCGUUGGAUUAGGUAGUUGGUGGGGUAAAGGCCUACCAAGCCGACGAUCCAUAGCUGGUCUGAGAGGAUGAUCAGCCACACUGGGACUGAGACACGGCCCAGUCUCCUACGGGAGGCAGCAGUGGGGAAUAUUGGACAAUGGGCGCAAGCCUGGUCCAGCAAUGCCGCGUGAGUGAUGAAGGCCCUAGGGUUGUAAAGCUCUUUUACCCGGGAAGAUAAUGACUGUACCGGGAGAAUAAGCCCCGGCUGACUCCGUGCCAGCCGCCGCCGUAACAC
rnacentral:rRNA from 1 species